AUAAUAGUCAGAUUUUCAAUUUUUAUUUAGAAAUUAUAUGUUACGAUCGACCAAAUAUGGAGUGGCCGAAGUUUUUAACGACCCAGCGACGGAGGCUCAGUCCAAAAAAGUAAUUAUAGGAGAAAGAAAGGAGAAAAGGAAAGAAAAAUAGGGUUAGAAUAUGAUCACAAUAUUGAAUUCGUUCUCAGCAUAUAUAAUAUAUAUAGGACGGGAAAUAUAAUAUUGAUAUAUAGUAAGAAUUAAAAAAAUGCCAAAUUAAGAAUUAAAUCACGUGUACCAACCUAUUCAUAUAUAUAUAUAGAUCGAAAUAAUUUAUGGUACUGCAUCAUUAAUAUUCGCAUGCACGGCGAUCACGCCUUUUAUAUGUAUACAUAUAGAUCACAUGCACACAGUACACUGCCAGACGUGUUUAUUAAUGCAUAUUUGCCUGAUUGCAUGGAGUGCAGGACCUCUACUCUCAUCGUCUCAGAAAUUCGAGGUUUCCUUGAAGAAGUUUUUGCAGUAGAUCAUACAUAUGUAUGGGAGUUUGCCGUCGACAUUGCAACGAUCGUCAAAUUAAACACAGUUGGAAUAACUGUACCUUUUUGCAAAAGGCCAGUUUUUGUGCUCAGAAUGAGGAAUAUAUAUAAUAAAUAAUCAAAAUAAGCAGUUUAUAAUUAAUUACUGCUUGGUGUGGAAUACUUCCUGCAUGACCUGCAGUCUAUAUAAUAUCAUUUAUAUAUGGUUCUUCAAUAAAUCUUAAAUAUGCAAUA